UGUGUGGAAAGCUGUCUGCCCUGUGGAAGACUACAUCCCUGGUGUGGGGGGACUUUGUGCCUGAUGGACUGGAAGGCUGGUAGACCUGAGGUGGCUAGCGAAUCCAAGGGGGGCUGAAGGAAGUCCUGAAGAUUGGAAGACAGUGGGCUGGAGAAUCCUGUUGAGGCCAGGAGUGGGCCAGGUUUAACAGGCGCUCUUCCAGCAUUUUGAAGGGAUUAAGGAAGAAACUCUGAGGUGGUGCAUCUUACUACUACUACUACUGCUGCUUGUGUGGGUUGGCUGUGUACUGCUUGGAUCGCAUGGGAUAAAGAAUACAGGGCUUUCUACAGUUGGAAGAGAUGGAGAGGAGGGGCAGUGACAUAAUUAUUUCAACCUCAUCCAAUCAAGGAAAAAAAAAAGCCGGGCAUCCAUUAAAAAAAAUACAAGGUAUUCUAUGAAUGGUGGCAGUGCCAGGCAAGAGACCCCCCCCUCAGUAAGCGGAGGGGAAGCCAUAUGGAAUGGGACCCAAAAGAUGGCAGCUACUACAGUGAUUUUCAGCCUCCCCCAUGGCCCAUUGGGUAUGAGCUAU